AGAGUUUGAUCCUGGCUCAGAUUGAACGCUGGCGGAAUGCUUUACACAUGCAAGUCGAACGGCAGCACGGACUUCGGUCUGGUGGCGAGUGGCGAACGGGUGAGUAAUACAUCGGAACGUGCCCAGUCGUGGGGGAUAACGUAGCGAAAGCUACGCUAAUACCGCAUACGAUCUAAGGAUGAAAGCGGGGGAUCGCAAGACCUCGCGCGAUUGGAGCGGCCGAUGGCAGAUUAGGUAGUUGGUGGGGUAAAGGCCUACCAAGCCGACGAUCUGUAGCUGGUCUGAGAGGAUGAUCAGCCACACUGGGACUGAGACACGGCCCAGACUCCUACGGGAGGCAGCAGUGGGGAAUUUUGGACAAUGGGCGCAAGCCUGAUCCAGCCAUUCCGCGUGCAGGACGAAGGCCUUCGGGUUGUAAACUGCUUUUGUACAGAACGAAAAGCUCUGGGUUAAUACCCUGGGGUCAUGACGGUACUGUAAGAAUAAGCACCGGCUAACUACGUGCCAGCAGCCGCGGUAAU
rnacentral:rRNA from 1 species